rnacentral:rRNA from 1 species
AGAACGAACGCUGGCGGCAUGCCUAAUACAUGCAAGUCGAACGAACUCUUCGGAGUUAGUGGCGCACGGGUGCGUAACGCGUGGGAAUCUGCCCUUGGGUUCGGAAUAACAGUUGGAAACGGCUGCUAAUACCGGAUGAUGACGAAAGUCCAAAGAUUUAUCGCCCAGGGAUGAGCCCGCGUAGGAUUAGCUAGUUGGUGGAGGUAAAGGCUCACCAAGGCGACGAUCCUUAGCUGGUCUGAGAGGAUGAUCAGCCACACUGGGACUGG